GACGAACGCUGGCGGCGUGCUUAACACAUGCAAGUCGAACGGAAAGGCCCUGCUUUUGUUGGGUUCUCGAGUGGCGAACGGGUGAGUAACACGUGAGUAACCUGCCCUUGACUUUGGGAUAACUUCAGGAAACUGGGGCUAAUACCGGAUAGGAGCUCCUGCUGCAUGGUGGGGGUUGGAAAGUUUCGGCGGUUGGGGAUGGACUCGCGGCUUAUCAGCUUGUUGGUGGGGUAGUGGCUUACCAAGGCUUUGACGGGUAGCCGGCCUGAGAGGGUGACCGGCCACAUUGGGACUGAGAUACGGACCAGACUCCAACGGGAGGCAGCAGUGGGGAAUAUUGCACAAUGGGCGGAAGCCUGAUGCAGCAACGCCGCGUGCGGGAUGACGGCCUUCGGGUUGUAAACCGCUUUCGCCUGUGACGAAGCGUGAGUGACGGUAAUGGGUAAAGAAGCACCGGCUAACUACGUG
rnacentral:rRNA from 1 species